AAGUGAGCCAUGAUGGCCGCUCUGAUGUUUUUUACAUCGGAGAGGAAAGUCCGAGCUCCGCAGGAUAAUGCAUCCCGAUAACGCGGGAAACGCCGGUUUCGGCCGGCGGGUGAUCAGAGCCACAGAGACGAGCCCCUUCAGUGGGGAGUGAAACGCGGCAAUCUCUGCAUGGAGCAAGGCCAGACAGAGGAGAGUUCUCAGGCGUCAACCAUCGGGGCAGGCGUAACAGCUGCCCUGACCUUGAUGGAAAGAUAUGCCUGAGGCGCGAUGCUAUCCGCAUCGUCCGUAUCUUCGGGUAGGCCGCAAGAGUCCCCCGGGCAACCGGAGGAGUCAGUUGGAUGGCCAUCCCCGACGCGCAAGCGAGGGAACAGAACUCGGCUUAUGUGGCUCACUUGAUU
rnacentral:RNase_P_RNA from 1 species